CGAGACCAGACUUGUGGUAAUGUCUGUGUGCUCACCUGAACUGAAGGUGCAGGUGGACAUCCAGCGCGAUUCACAGACACCUGUAGGGAUGGCACAGCUGGAAGCUGUGCUCCACAAUGAGUCCGUGUGCUUUCCGGGCCUCUGGCUUGUAUGUCUUCCUAAAGAAACAGCAGUGAGUUGUUUAGAAGCAUAAUUUAAAUCAUACUGUUUAAAUGAGAAAAGCCACCCCCCCCCCCCCUCCCCCAUGCCAGAAGCAGGAAUGAUCUAUUCAAAAUCUUACAUAAUAAACAGUAUCAAAUGCAUCGUUCACAUGACAGCUAGAACUGACAGGAACAGAGUAGUUAACUGGGGUUGUGGUGAAAGAAAGAAAAAAGAGAGUAAAGGGGGAUAUCCUACAUCGACUGGAAUCAAUGGGAACAUGACCAGGACUUGGAGGGGGGCAGGGGGGGAUAUACAUCUGGCUCAUCUUCUCCUUCAAAAGGAGAGCAGUGGCUUUUGAAUAAACCAUGUUCCCUCCCACACACCCCAAUUCUCCUUUUGGAUGGCAGAUGUUGCACUGCCAUUUUUAAAAUGCCACCAGAGCUCACCCCGUGCUGGAGAUGAAUGGGUUGAGAACAACACGCAGACAUGGUCUGUUUUGACCCUGUUCUCACUUCUUUGUUCCCCAUUAAGAAUAUGGUUUCAGCACUUUGAAGUGGGUUAGCCGUUUCAGAAGCAACCUGCCCCUUAAUUAAGGUUCCAUAUCUUAAUUAAUUCAGGCUAAAAACCAUAAACCUACCUGCCACCCAGCAUUUCAGGUUGGCAGUCCCCGUGUAACAUCGUGCCAUUCGUGUACUCACCGACUGCCUUCAGCAGACACAAUGGCCUCUCCCUACUUCAGCACAGCCUAGCCUACAGGAUUACAGCAUUGUGGUCACAGGACGAAGAAGACAGACCAGUUGCUGCCUGCUGCUUUAUGAAGUGUUGCAUGACGAGCUCCAAGCGGGCCACAGACUUCUCAUCUGCUUUUUUUCCUUCCUUUUUUUCCCCUCAAGAUGCAGCCAGUUUGACAAUAGAGACACAGAACACAUUUAAUGCUCGCUAAACCAGGAGUAAAAGGACAGUUCAGAGCUCAGCAGUGUGUUAGCAGAUGUCUGUAGUCCCCCACACACUGCUCUAGCUGUUCAUCCCAACCCUGCGCUUUCACAGCCUUACUAUUGUUGUCUGGGGCCCUUUGAGAGAGCAGAAGCAGCUGAACAAUCUGUCACACGAAACAGCAGUAGCUUAGCAGUGUUCCGUAAAUGAUUACCUACCUUGUAGAGAGGUGUUACACUCAAUUGGCUAAUGGUUGUAAAUUGUUAUAUGAUUGCUGUUGUUUUGUGAGAGCUGGAGCUGUGCUGGAGACACUGGAGGUGCGGUGAAGGUGGGAGAGGCAGGAGGGAGUGGGCAGAGAAUGUAUGAGGAGAAGAUUGAAAAGGAAAAUUGUAGAAACCCAGAGUGCAACUGGGGGGGGGAGAAAAAUGGAAUAUUACUUUUCAAAGAAAUUGAAAAUCUGAGCAAAGGAGAAAAUCGUAAGGAUGACAAAGGUAGUUUCAAGACCAACAAAAACAAAAAUUCCAUCAGAAGAAGGGAGGAGAUCUAAAACUAAAAAGGCCACAACAAACAGUCACCUUUAUGUGCGUAAAUAGAAUUGCCUUUUUAUUUUUUGCUCCUAAAUUGCUUUUUUUUCGUCCUUCCUGUUACCGGGACAUAUGUUCUUAAGCACUCUCUUUGAGGUGAGAAGGAAAGGGCUGCUGGAGGCCUCCCUUGUAUUAGAGUCGUUGCGUUCCUCACGGGGAGCUCAACAGAAAAAAGCCCAAAAUCUCAGCAAGGCACCCAAUAGCCUCCCUGAUUGACAACAAGUUGUCACCUUGGUUUCAGUUGGAAAACGGAGUGAGAAAGCAACAUGCAGAACAUUAUCUGAAACUACCGACCGAGCAAAGACGCUUGAGCACAAGCGACUGGUCUCCAUUCAUCCAGCAGCGGUGGUUUUUCAAGCCUUCUACACAUACGUGCUUGGGCAGGGGGUGGGAGAUGCACACACACGUACAUACAGACCUGUGCAUACACACAAAUGUACCAACACCCCUCACCCUGUCCGGGAGAUAAGAGCGUAAAAAGCCAACCCUGCUGUUAUAGUAGAGCAGAUAGCCAAACAACGUUUCUUCAGAAGUCCGCUUCCAAAAUCCUUCGUCAGCUUUUUGAGAUACCCACACAGAGGGAGCAGUUGUGGAGCCUCGUGAAUUACAGCUCUUCCCCUUCUCUAACCAGUGAGAUCAGGGUGCCAGUGAGGAUGGUGGCUGGGGCCAUCAGAGCUAAUGGUGCCAGAGCUGUGUUUUCAUUUACACAGUUCAAAAAGGAGAGCGGUUCACUACUGCUGCUUGCCUUGCAGUGCACCUUAACGCUCUGCUUUCCAGAUCUCCAGCAAAGGCAGAGUAUGCAGAGACUUACCUGCUGUUCCAACAGAGCGCGGAGCUGUUUGUGCAGCCGGCCUUGCCAGCAGGCUAACACUCUACAAACUGAUCUCUUUUCCCGCCCCAAACCUGUAAGUUUAUUAGGCGUAUUUAAAGAUCCUGCUCAUUUUUUUUUUUUCAUUGGCAGAGCUUAAAGAAUAAGCUUUUUCCCCAGACUUUUAAAAAUUCCUUUCUGCUACGAUCAUAUGUUCUCUGCAGCAUUAUCAGAGAAUUUACUUUUUCCGAGGUACUUGUCUUUUCUCAUUCUUCCACCUGUGAACCUGAACUUCACAGCUAACACUACACUUGGCAAAAUGUAUAAGAACUGCAUUCAGACUUGCAACCAUUUCCUUUGGUACACUAUGAGAACACUUCCUUUUCAGCACAGCUCUACAUCAAUUAUAGGGUGGGGAUGCCCACAUCUUCUUCGUGCUUGGCCUCGCCAUUAGUGUUAAACUGAACCCACAUAUGACCAACUCAGACAGUGAAGCACUAGAAUCAGCCACGUUGUGCACGCAUCGCACCAUUCCACAGCACAGAGAAUUCGAUUACUUAAUCAUAAAAUAUUUGCAUUGGUUUUACUUUGACUAUAUUGUAUUUUUAAUAGGUUUUAAUCUAAGCUUUGUCAUGAGAACACCACAGUGAAGAAACUUGGCAGCGCAGUCUACCUCCACGGUUGCCAGCAAUAACAGGGCAGCCACAACACCAGUUGCAGCAGGGCGGGCAUUCCCCUAUCUCCACCAACGAUCUCCUUGAGGGAGGCAGUGGUGAGCAAUGUUUGGGAGGUGCCCCGAGACUCCCUCCCCAGUGACGGGCUCUGGAUAACUGCACAGGAGCAGGUAGCCAGGCACAGCAGCAAGCACGCCCCCAGCCACUGGGAGAUGACCUGCUAGCUGUAGGCACUGGAUGACACGUCAGUUCUGCUCAUUGGCACGCGCCUCCUGAUCAGCAAAAGGACAGGAUGGCACAUGGGCAGUGAACUAGCACGUACACAGCUGUGGUAGCAGCCUAGCAGUUUUCCAUACAAACCAAAUGUCUUCCCAUUAAGAACAUCAGCAUCAGUGCUGGAAGUGGUCCUAAGGUAAUGGCUACUGCAAGAAAGCGAGACGAAGGGCUCAAGAGCCACAGACAGGAGACAAACAGGGCAGCUCCAGGUGGUCAGGCAGGCUCUGCCUGUGUCCUGCACUAGGCCAAUGUGGUUUCUCAGUUUAGGAGGAGCUGGGAAGAGAACUCUACGCCUGAAAAUGGCAGCACCAAGGGGACAGUACAGGCACAAGGAAGAAAGUCAGCUUGAAGAUACUUGGAUACUAAUGGAAAGGAAGCAUUAGGCAUGGGGAUUAGCCAUCAUCUGGGGAUGAAGCUGCUAAAGCAGGAGAUACAGGGCAAAGGCUGUUUCAGAGAACUGCAUAAAAGUCUUUUUCCAUUAUCUCUGGUCAGACAUGUUAAAAAGACACAGACAAAAGUCAGCACUGAUCUAUUGAAUGCAGCUGGAAAAGUAUCAAUGAAAGAGAAAUGAACCCAGAGAGCCAAACUGAGGCAAGGGUACAGGGUGCUCGUUAACAUGGCCUAGAAUCUGGUAGGGAGACACUGAGUGGUGGAAGGGGACACAAACAUCAGGCAGUUCCCGAAAUACUGGAAAAAAAAACAACCCACAAAACAAAUCAGGUGCAGAGCUCUGUGCGUUCAGGUAGCUGGAAAACAGAGUGACCACAGUCAGAAGUUACUGCAGAAGUAGGCCAUUUUCAGGUGUGCCUACAAGAUGCAUGGGAAACCCGUGGAUGCAAGCAGAAGUUGAAUUUACAGUAUUCCUGCCAGGCACCGACCUUCCUUUGAUCAGCUAUAGAUCUUAAGGCUGGCUGUCCUCCAUUCUCCGGACUCGUGUUCAGAAAGAACAGCUAUGGAAUUCUUCAUGAAUAACUCUGAACAGCAACUGGUCCUGUGUCUCCUGUGGGGAUGGGUCAAACAUUUAUUGACUGGUUAACGCAAGACUGAGUGGGACCCUUACUUGUCUGUAUUCCUUCACACCACCACCAGUACAACAAGCCACGUAUUCUCUUGGCUUGGAUCCAAACUUUCCAUCGCCUGGCCUGUGCCAUGCCCUAAAAUAAUGGAGGUCUUGUCGCUCCCGGAGCCCUCAAUGUACCCAUGCUGUAGCACAAGCAGAAAUUCAAAGCACCGAGUUACUUUCAAACCUUGCUCCCAGCUACAGUUGAAGGUUGGUCACUGGAGGAGGUAGACCUCAAUAGUACUCAGUCAGACUACUUUUAUAUCCCCCUGUAGAAGAUCAGGACUGUAGGAAUACAAGACAGAAACACUGCUGUGCUGUGGUACCUUGGCAUGAGAUGGUUUAAAAGCUUAGUGAGGCACCUCAAUCGAGUUACACAGUUCCAGGGAGACUGGAAGCGUAGAGAAACCAUCCGACUCUCCACAAAAAAGUUAUUACUCAAAAGGGUUUUUGCUUACCAAAUAAUCUGAUCUCUGGCUACUGCAAAAUGGUUUUCCUGCUCUCUUUGAACUGAAUUUCAAUAUGUGCUUGCAUGAAGAACAUAAUGAAGUACAUGCCUACGGCAAGUGCACUUUAAAGCACUGUCCUUUAUUCCUAGAGACAUUUCCAGGAAACGCGAAGCAGCGGAAUAAAACACCUCUGGCUUUAUCACAGACUCCUUCUGCUGCGUCACUCCUUGCUCAGGGGCUGACACUCAGACAGACACAAGCACAGCAGAUCUGCCUGGCUCUUAGCCAUGCAGGAGAGCCGUGCCUCACAGGAAGGCAGACGUGACGAGGCCUGCAACCCGAAGGCAGCGCACAGCAUUUCAGAAGAGCUGCACGGCACAACUCCAAAGGCCAGUUCCUUCACCAGCCAUGUCUUCACACAAGCAAAGAUACGCACCGAAUAUAACUGCCCAAGUUAUACUGCAGUAUCUGACAGCAGGAUUUAUCUUUCUCUCCGUUCAAAACUCCCACCCUGGUGAAGUGGGACAUUUAGAAGCAGAGAUCAGGCAGUGCUCAUUCAUAGGCGGCUGGUAGCUCACUCUGAAUAGCUCACAUGCAGCCUUACAAGUAAAAUGGCAUUUCUGCCUCUUUCUGAAGCAUCAUCCAGAAAGGGCCCCUUGUGUUACACAUAGUCCAGAUGAACCCUUGGUUAGAGACAGGCAGCUUUUCAGGCCCAGUGGGACCGGGUCACUGAAGGCAGCAUGCAGCAGCUUGCUUAAGGGGCCAGGCUCAUUGGCAUCUCUUAGUUAGGGCUGUGAGAUCUCUCUGCCACUCCAUCCUGAGGCCCAGGGAGGCAUCACUAGUUUUUCAGCCUUGCUUUUACCGAAUAACUCAGCUAAUAGCAUCAGAUGAAGCAGGGAUUUUCUGAUGUUUGGCUAAGCUGUUAAUAUUGUCGUUCUGGCACAUGUUAACAAGUACAGGCAGGUCUGGGUAUUAGUCAUAUUUUUAGAGGCAGCUUUUUUUCUUAUUCUCUGUCUCUCUCUUUUUUUUUUUUAAUUAUCUUAUCCAUUGUUACCGGGCUUCAAAGCCCUCAGCAGAAACAGCUGUGUGAGCGUUAUAAAAUUAUAUUGCUAGGCCAGGGCUGUUUUCCAGCUUUACACAAGCUGUAGGUCAAAAGACACUACUCUCUGCACUGAGAAAAGCUACAGAAGGAAUUGCAGGCUAAGAACCAAGUACCUACUCCUGGGGCAUGCCUGAACUGACACUGCCCUCCCAAAUCUGAUUUAGUUUCUAUGUAUAUGCACCUUACUCUACGGUGUUCAACCUCCAAACUGAUAUAGUGGGAUCGGUCAUAUGUCUGACUCAGCAGCCACUGCAUGCACAGGCUUUUCAGUGCUUUGGCACAUCUUCACUGGUCAUCUAGCAUCAUUAAACGUAUCCUGGAGGUGACCUUUAUGGUACUGGAAUGCUUCAGUAGCAUGUAUUUAUUUUUCUGGGGCUCCUCUGAGCAGAAGCUUGGCCUGCAGUUCUCAGCGAGGCUGCGCUGCUGAAGGUUGGCUUCUGUAAAGUUCAAAGCACUCAAGCCUUACACGUGCCCUCAUCUUGAAUUAGAUAUUGGUAUAUGAAAAGUUGCUGAAGAAACUCUCGCAAUGAGCUCUGUUUCUUAGAGAAGGAUCGGCUCACGACUCUACCUUACCUCUAGCUGCUGUUUGCAUGACAAGUCCUUCCAGGAACAUAAAAAACAAACCCAUUCAUUCCGUUUGCACAAGUCAGGCUGACUUGCAGUUGUUACGCAGGAAACAAAUACAAACACAAAUCAUAAAGGAAUGGGAACAAUUAAUUACAGACAACGGAGCAGUGAAGCUUGUUACCAGCACCCAUCGGUCCCACCACUGCUCCCAGCCGAGCAGCCCAUGCCGCAGAACAGGGCCGUGUGCUCAGAGGCAGCAGCUGAGCAGAGCUCGUCCUGCCGCAGCCCGCCUGCUCCUUUGUGGCCCAACAGGCUGCGGCAACCGUGACAGCAGGGACUGCACUCAGCAGAGCAACAGAUUGCAAAGCAGCCGGCGAUACCAGGGCCACGCUUAUGUGGCAAAAUGUGCUACGAUACCAAGAGGCGAGCUGCCUGCUGCACUACAGCAAAGCAGAUUGCAUAGCAUUAGCGCUGGUGACAACAGGGCACUCAUUGUGUGGGACAACAAGUCACACAGAGAAUGUGCAAAUGCGAUUGGUUGGGCCCACUUAACAUAUGCACAGCAGAGUGACAUAUGGCAAUUGGUGACUUCCCUGCCACAGAUGCUGAAAGGCUUUGUUUCCAUACAGUGUGUGGUGCAGACCCCGUACAUUGUUUCCCUUUUGGUGGGGAGCCCUGUGAGUGCCAGCAGCGCACAGACCCAACCUCCGCGCGCCGCACAUUCCUGGUGCCCCAGUGCCUCUGGCUGUGCUGUGCUGUGCUGUGCAGGCGCUCCUGCUGAAACACUGCCCACCAGCCAAAGCCAUGGGCAUGCUGAGAAACACCAUUCAUUCUGAAACGCAGCUGAGAUGGACUCCCUUUUCCGUUCCCUCUGCCCUUCUCGUUGGGUUUCUACACGUUGAGAUAACGCCACAGCCUGAAACAAACCAUUUCUAAAGAUGCUUGCUUUUUCAUUAGAACCUUUGUUUUCAGUAGUUUCUCUCUAUGAAGGAUACAAACAUGUAACUAGAUUGUAGUUGACAAAUAGAUUGCUUUUUCAACACUGCUAAGCAAACGUUUAAGUGGAAGUAAAGAUGGGCAAUGCCAAGUGCUAUCUUGGCCACAAGACAGAGACGAAUGGAAAAGAGGCUUGAUCAGCUUGCUGCCACCUCCCACCGGGGAGCAUCUUCAGAGCUGCCCAAAUGAGCAGACUUUUAUUCACUUUAUGCUCCUUUUGCUUUUUGAGAGCUAGUGAAGGAAACGUUGCUUUGUAAAGGGGCUGUGGAGCAGCCAUACUCCAAGUCAAGGGUAACACGACUUGCUCCUACCAUGCUGCAGAAGAAGGUGGCAAAAGAAUGAGCAUGAGUGCUGAGACCACUUGGAGAUCACCAGAGGGCUGAGUUGCUCCAAGACCUUCACAGUGACUUGUCUCCAUGGCCCCCAAUGGCUCCCUGAGUUUCUGUAUAUCCAUGCAGAAAUAUGAGCACAUGUGCGGUAAGUCUGAUUAGUUCUGACUGCAUCGUAUUUACUCUGCAAGCACCAACCAUCUGUGCAGCAACUGUCCAAUAUGUCCAGGCUGCAUCAGACCCUCUGGACCCGUACUGUGUUGAUGCACGCAUUUGCAGUGCUCAUCCAAUACCUCUGGCUGGCUCAUCUCUCAGAACUACCACUCUGUUAUGAUGAAAUCUCAGAUAAACAGCUUCAGCCCUCAAAUUAGGCCCGAAUAAAGAACCAGAAAUGGGGAACAACAUGAGGUGCAUUUGGGGAAAACUGGAUUUGCAGCAGUCCCGUCUCUGUGGCUUUGAGUAUAAUCUGAAGAGUUAGUAAUCAACUGACUGGGAGAGGGCAUACGGGGAGAAGAGUUUUACCUUGAGAAUAGCUCCCUCUGCAGCCUUAUUUUCAGCACCCACAACACAGCACAUCAGAACAGAAUCGUUCAGUUGGGGGAGACCUACAAAGACCGUCACACACCUGAUGUACACCAGGUAGUUAACUGAUGGCUCCAGAGUGAAACAAAAACGGAAGCAUAUUGUUAAGGAUGUUAUCCAAAUGCUCCUUGAGAGCUGACAGGCACCGGGCAUCGACGCCCUCUCCAUCCCAUUGCUCAACCACCCUCGUGUUGAAGAAUUUUUUCCUAAUACCCAGUCCUUAGACUAACAAUUGCUUAAUUGCUACUCGUAGCUGGAAGAACCUUCUGGGAAUGAACGGAGUCAGUCUGGAAAAGCUGUGCUCUCCAUUCCUGCUAGGGUGCCAGUUUGUCUCAUGCUUUGCAAUGCCACAGGACGGUGCAAAACAACCUCAGUGAUCCACACCGAAAAGCAGCCGGCCUUUCAAUCUUAAAUAACGCUGCCGACAGGAAGAUCGCAUCAAAGCUGCUGAGAAGCUGGUAAAGAAACGAGGCAACUUCUGAAUGUCCUGCAAUACCCG
ensembl:lncRNA